rnacentral:lncRNA from 1 species
GAAGAACUGAGAAACAAACUCUGCUGUGCUCUUGGAAGGCGAGAAUGCAGAGACUGCUGUGUUUGCACCUGCCAUCUGAUGCAGAAAUGACCUAAAGACAGACUGAAACAAUGUGUUCUACAGCCUGAAAAUAUCUGCCUUGACUUAGUUUCAUAAUGCUGGUGUGAUCACACUGGGCAAAAAUUAGCGUACAUUAUUAACUAAUCUAAUUCAAGUACCAAUUCUUCGUAAAAACAUAAAACAAUAAAAGCAAUUUAG